CACCGCGGUUAUACGAGAGGCCCAAGCUGACAGGCCCCGGCGUAAAGAGUGGUUAAGAUCUCAUCUUACUAAAGCCAAACGCCCCCCAAGCUGUCAUACGCACCCGGGGGUAGGAAGCUCUUCUACGAAGGUCGCUUUAAACCUCUGACGCCACGAGAGCUAGGACA
rnacentral:rRNA from 1 species